GUCUGGUGGGUAGUUUGACUGGGGCGGUCUCCUCCUAAAGAGUAACGGAGGAGCACGAAGGUCAGCUAAUCCUGGUCGGACAUCAGGAGGUUAGUGCAAUGGCAUAAGCUGGCUUGACUGCGAGCGUGACGGCGCGAGCAGGUGCGAAAGCAGGUCAUAGUGAUCCGGUGGUUCUGAAUGGAAGGGCCAUCGCUCAACGGAUAAAAGGUACUCCGGGGAUAACAGGCUGAUACCGCCCAAGAGUUCAUAUCGACGGCGGUGUUUGGCACCUCGAUGUCGGCUCAUCACAUCCUGGGGCUGAAGUAGGUCCCAAGGGUAUGGCUGUUCGCCAUUUAAAGUGGUACGCGAGCUGGGUUUAGAACGUCGUGAGACAGUUCGGUCCCUAUCUGCCGUGGGCGCUGGAGAAUUGAGGGGGGCUGCUCCUAGUACGAGAGGACCGGAGUGGACGCAUCACUGGUGUUCGGGUUGUCAUGCCAAUGGCAUUGCCCGGUAGCUAAAUGCGGAAGAGAUAAGUGCUGAAAGCAUCUAAGCACGAAACUUGCC
rnacentral:rRNA from 1 species